CCUACGGGUGGCAGCAGUGGGGGAUAUUGCACAAUGGGGGGAACCCUGAUGCAGCGACGCCGCGUGGGUGAAGAAGCGCCUCGGCGCGUAAAGCCCUUUCAUCAGAGAAGAUAAUGACGGUAUCUGACGAAUAAGCCCCGGCUAACUACGUGCCAGCAGCCGCGGUAAUACGGAGGGGGCAAGCGUUAUCCGGAUUUACUGGGGGUAAAGGGGGCGCAGACGGGGAUGCAAGCCAGGUGUGAAAGCCCGGGGCCCAACCCUGGGACUGCACUUGGAACUGCGUGGCUGGAGUGCAGGAGGGGCAGGCGGAAUUCUUGGUGUAGGGGUGAAAUGCGUAGAUAUCAGGAGGAACACUGGUGGCGAAGGCGGCCUGCUGGACUGCAACUGACGUUGAGGCCCGAAAGCGUGGGGAGCAAACAGGAUUAGAUACCCGAGUAGUC
rnacentral:rRNA from 1 species